rnacentral:rRNA from 1 species
AUUGAACGCUGGCGGUAGGCUUAACACAUGCAAGUCGUGCGAGAAAGUAUCUUCGGAUAUGAGUAGAGCGGCGGACGGGUGAGUAACGCGUAGGAAUCUACCUAGUAGAAGGGGAUAGCCCGGGGAAACUCGGAUUAAUACCGUAUACCUCCUUCGGGAGAAAGAAGGCCUCUCUUUGAAGCUUUCGCUAUUAGAUGAGCCUGCGUAAGAUUAGCUUGUUGGUGAGGUAAAGGCUCACCAAGGCGACGAUCUUUAGCGGGUCUGAGAGGACGAUCCGCCACAUUGGGACUGAGACACGGCCCAGACUCUUACGGGAGGCAGCAGUGGGGAAUAUUGGACAAUGGGCGCAAGCCUGAUCCAGCCAUACCGCGUGUGUGAAGAAGGCCCUAGGGUUGUAAAGCACUUUAAGUUGGGAAGAAAAGUUAUUGGUUAAUACCCAAUAACCGUGACAUUACCAUCAGAAUAAGGACCGGCUAAUUCCGUGCCAGCAGCCGCGGUAAUACGGAAGGUCCAAGCGUUAAUCGGAAUUACUGGGCGUAAAGCGCGCGUAGGUGGUUUAUUAAGUUGGAUGUGAAAUCCCCGGGCUCAACCUGGGAACUGCAUCCAAAACUGAUUCACUAGAGUACGAUAGAGGGAGGUAGAAUUCACAGUGUAGCGGUGGAAUGCGUAGAUAUUGUGAAGAAUACCAAUGGCGAAGGCAGCCUCCUGGAUCUGUACUGACACUGAGGUGCGAAAGCGUGGGUAGCGAACAGGAUUAGAUACCCUGGUAGUCCACGCCGUAAACGAUGUCAACUAGCUGUUGGAAAACUAUGUUUUUCAGUGGCGCAGCUAACGUAGUAAGUUGACCGCCUGGGGAGUACGGCCGCAAGGCUAAAACUCAAAUGAAUUGACGGGGACCCGCACAAGCGGUGGAGCAUGUGGUUUAAUUCGAUGCAACGCGAAAAACCUUACCUAUACUUGACAUACUUGGAAUGCUUUGUAAUGAAGCAGUGCCUUCGGGAGCCAAGAUACAGGUGCUGCAUGGCUGUCGUCAGCUCGUGUCGUGAGAUGUUCCGUUAAGUCGGAUAACGAGCGCAACCCUUACCCUUAUUUGCCAGCGAUUCGGUCGGGAACUAUAAGGGGACUGCCGGUGAUAAACCGGAGGAAGGUGAGGACGACGUCAAGUCAUCAUGGCCCCUACGUAUAGGGCUACACACGUGCUACAAUGGAGAAUACAGACGGACGCUAAGCCGCGAGGUGGUGCUAAUCCUAGAAAAUUCUUCGUAGUCCGGAUUGGAGUCUGCAACUCGACUCCAUGAAGUCGGAAUCGCUAGUAAUCGCGAAAUCAGCAUGUCGCGGUGAAAUACGUUCUCGGGUCU